CGGGCUCUUUGUUGCCUGGACCUUUCUCUAGGCCAGCUGAGUUGGCUUAGUGUGAGCGGUCAAUUCUCGAGGUCGGUGCCUCUUAUGAUUGCCCCUGAUUCUCUGUUUGGCUUUGUAUUUUGGUAUGCAGUUUGCUUAGGAAUCGUCUUGCCUUAAUUCAGUCUGCCUAUUGGGUUUACCAGUACGGUGCUCGUUUUCUUGAGAUCGGCAUGAUGCUUUGGUACUUUUGGCUGUUGUGUGAGAUUAAAGUCUCUCUACCUGAUGACUUGAGCUCCUUUGGGAGGUCGGAGUUUAGCUUUUUCAUUUAUGGUCCCGUGCCCCAAUCUUUUAUGUGAGAUCAGAAUUAUGUUCUUUAUGAGUUGUUUUUGCUUGUUGCACCGGAUGAUCUUGGGGAUUCUGGCUAUUUUUGCUCCGGGAGAUCUUUGAGAUCUUUGCCGGUCUUCUACCUCAGUGAGGUCUUCUGCCUCAUUGAGGUCUUCUGCCUCAGUGAGGUUUUUUGCCUCUUUGAGGUCUUCUGCCUCUUUUAGGUCUUCUGCCUCUUUGAGGUCUUCUGCCUUAUUGAGGUCUUCUGCCUCUUUN
rnacentral:lncRNA from 1 species